GAGGGUAGAGCUCAGGGGUAGAGCACGUGCUUAGCAUGCAUACUUCCUAGGUUCAAUCCCCAGUACCUCCA
rnacentral:tRNA from 1 species